UACAGAGGUCCCAAGCGUUGUUCGGAUUCACUGGGCGUAAAGGGUGCGUAGGUGGUCAGGUAAGUCGGAUGUGAAAUCUCGGAGCUUAACUCCGAAACUGCAUUGGAAACUACCUGGCUCGAGGAAUGGAGGGGGGACUGGAAUUCUCGGUGUAGCAGUGAAAUGCGUAGAUAUCGAGAGGAACACCAGUGGCGAAGGCGAGUCCCUGGACAACACCUGACACUGAGGCACGAAAGCUAGGGGAGCAAACAGG
rnacentral:rRNA from 1 species